rnacentral:rRNA from 1 species
UACGGGGGGGGCAAGCGUUGUUCGGAAUUACUGGGCGUAAAGGGCGCGUAGGCGGUUCGCUAAGUUGAAUGUGAAAACUCUGGGCUUAACCCAGAGCCUGCAUUCAAUACUGGCGGGCUAGAGUUCUGGAGGGGAUAGCGGAAUUCCUGGUGUAGCGGUGAAAUGCGUAGAUAUCAGGAGGAACACCGGUGGCGAAGGCGGCUAUCUGGACAGAGUCUGACGCUGAUGCGCGAAAGCUAGGGGAGCAAACAGG